GACGAACGCUGGCGGCGUGCCUAAUACAUGCAAGUAGAACGCACGGUUUAUACCGUAGCUUGCUACACCAUAGACUGUGAGUUGCGAACGGGUGAGUAACGCGUAGGUAACCUGCCUGGUAGCGGGGGAUAACUAUUGGAAACGAUAGCUAAUACCGCAUAAUAUUAAUUAUUGCAUGAUAAUUAAUUGAAAGGUGCAAUUGCACCACUACCAGAUGGACCUGCGUUGUAUUAGCUAGUAGGUGAGGUAACGGCUCACCUAGGCGACGAUACAUAGCCGACCUGAGAGGGUGAUCGGCCACACUGGGACUGAGACACGGCCCAGACUCCUACGGGAGGCAGCAGUAGGGAAUCUUCGGCAAUGGACGAAAGUCUGACCGAGCAACGCCGCGGGAGUGAAGAAGGUUUUCGGAUCGUAAAGCUCUGUUGUAAGAGAAGAACGGGUGUGAGAGUGGAAAGUUCACACUGUGACGGUAUCUUACCAGAAAGGGACGGCUAACUACGUG
rnacentral:rRNA from 1 species